rnacentral:rRNA from 1 species
GAUGAACGCUGGCGGCGUGCUUAACACAUGCAAGUCGAACGGUGAAGCCAAGCUUGCUUGGUGGAUCAGUGGCGAACGGGUGAGUAACACGUGAGCAACCUGCCCUGGACUCUGGGAUAAGCGCUGGAAACGGCGUCUAAUACUGGAUAUGAGACGUGAUCGCAUGGUCGUGUGUGGAAAGAUCUUUCGGUCUGGGAUGGGCUCGCGGCCUAUCAGCUUGUUGGUGAGGUAAUGGCUCACCAAGGCGUCGACGGGUAGCCGGCCUGAGAGGGUGACCGGCCACACUGGGACUGAGACACGGCCCAGACUCCUACGGGAGGCAGCAGUGGGGAAUAUUGCACAAUGGGCGGAAGCCUGAUGCAGCAACGCCGCGUGAGGGAUGACGGCCUUCGGGUUGUAAACCUCUUUUAGCAGGGAAGAAGCGAAAGUGACGGUACCUGCAGAAAAAGCGCCGGCUAACUACGUGCCAGCCGCCGCCGUAAGAC